UACGGAGGGGGCUAGCGUUGUUCGGAAUUACUGGGCGUAAAGCGCGCGUAGGCGGAUUGUUAAGUCGGGGGUGAAAUCCCGGGGCUCAACCCCGGAAUUGCCUUCAAGACUGCAAGUCUGGAGGUCAGGAGAGGCGAGCGGAAUUCCGAGUGUAGAGGUGAAAUUCGUAGAUAUUCGGAGGAACACCAGUGGCGAAGGCGGCUCGCUGGACUGAUACUGACGCUGAGGUGCGAAAGCGUGGGGAGCAAACAGG
rnacentral:rRNA from 1 species